GAUAGUUAGCAUGGCCGCAUCAGGCGUGGGCACUGCCGCAGGCGGAGCAGCAGCAGCAGGUGGGGUUGUACACGGCGGAAGGGGAACCGACGGGGUACACGACCAAGUGGGAGGAGCUCCAUCCGGUUUUGCAACACCUUCUCCUGCAAAUCGAGGACACGAUAAGGGAUGAGAGGCAUGCUGUGAGCAGGUGGAAAAUGCAGGCGCCUCAGUGACCCGUCAGUCUCCAACAAGGGUUUUGAACUGAAUGCUCGUUAGAUAACCCAGAGGUCAGGUCAGCCGUCAGCGGUGGUUGCUUUCCUGGGUAUGAGCUGAUUGCUAGGGAGGUGUACACUAGAGGACAGGCUCAUCACUGAUAAUUCAAUGGAGUGUGUAGACUGAUAUGGUACCUACUACCUACUCAAAGGAGGAAAGGUAUAAGUCCGAGGUGAAUUUGUUCUCCUUUUGAACCUUCUCUUU